ACAUCAUCCAUGAUCCCGCCUAAUUGAAAGAAGACACAUCAUCUUUGGUUUGAAAGUUUAGUCCGAAUAUACAUAUGAUAUGAAAAAAAAAAGAUGAUGUGUUUUUCUUUUAAUUGGACGAGAUAAUGAAUGAUG
rnacentral:pre_miRNA from 1 species